GACGAACGCUGGCGGCGUGCUUAACACAUGCAAGUCGAACGGAAAGGCCCUGCUUUUGUGGGGUGCUCGAGUGGCGAACGGGUGAGUAACACGUGAGUAACCUGCCCUUGACUUUGGGAUAACUUCAGGAAACUGGGGCUAAUACCGGAUAGGAGCUCCUGCUGCAUGGUGGGGGUUGGAAAGUUUCGGCGGUUGGGGAUGGACUCGCGGCUUAUCAGCUUGUUGGUGGGGUAGUGGCUUACCAAGGCUUCGACGGGUAGCCGGCCUGAGAGGGUGACCGGCCACAUGGGGACUGAGAUACGGCCCAGACGCCUACGGGAGGCAGCAGUGGGGAAUAUUGCACAAUGGGCGGAAGCCUGAUGCAGCAACGCCGCGUGCGGGAUGACGGCCUUCGGGUUGUAAACCGCUUUCGCAUGUGACGAAGCGUGAGUGACGGUAAUGGGUAAAGAAGCACCGGCUAACUACGUG
rnacentral:rRNA from 1 species